rnacentral:rRNA from 1 species
GAUGAACGCUGGCGGCGUGCCUAAUACAUGCAAGCCGAGCGAAUGGAUUAAGAGCUUGCUCUUAUGAAGUUAGCGGCGGACGGGUGAGUAACACGUGGGUAACCUGCCCAUAAGACUGGGAUAACUCCGGGAAACCGGGGCUAAUACCGGAUAACAUUUUGAACCGCAUGGUUCGAAAUUGAAAGGCGGCUUCGGCUGUCACUUAUGGAUGGACCCGCGUCGCAUUAGCUAGUUGGUGAGGUAACGGCUCACCAAGGCAACGAUGCGUAGCCGACCUGAGAGGGUGAUCGGCCACACUGGGACUGAGACACGGCCCAGACUCCUACGGGGGGCAGCAGUAGGGAAUCUUCCGCAAUGGACGAAAGUCUGACGGAGCAACGCCGCGUGAGUGAUGAAGGCUUUCGGGUCGUAAAACUCUGUUGUUAGGGAAGAACAAGUGCUAGUUGAAUAAGCUGGCACCUUGACGGUACCUAACCAGAAAGCCACGGCUAACUACGUGCCAGCCGCCGCCGUAA